rnacentral:rRNA from 1 species
AUGACGGGAGAAAGGGCAGGGCUUGAUAUGCAUAUGCCAUCACUUCAAGCUGAGAAUAAUUCUGAGGCACCAACGGCACCGGAGUACUGCAUUGAUGUUGGCUCUGUUGGAAGUUUCGCAAGGUUCAUAAACCACAGCUGCAACCCUAACCUCUUCGUCCAAUGUAUCCUAACCAAUCACCACGACGUCAAGCUAGAAAAGGUGAUGCUUUUUGUUGCAAACAUGAUACUUCCACUUCAGGUGCUUUGA